GUGCUUAGUAUUAAAAAUAGGAUAAACAUUAAAAAAAAGAAAAAAUUUGCAGUAAUCUUAAACACUGUUUGGAUUUUAAUAUCGGAACUUUCGCAGAGAGAGUCAUUUAAACUAAAAAUGAUGAUGGAACUUAAUUAUAUGGAUGGGUCUUCGUUAAUUCCAUAUUCAAAUUCAUCACAAAUGCUAGCCACAUAUUUAAAAUAUAUUGAUCCCAUUCGGACGAAGAAAUUUCCACGAACAUGUCAAAGCUUUCAUCACGAUCAAAUACCGACAGAAAUCAGGUCGUCUUAACACCAGACAAGAACUUCUGCAUUGGGAAGUUUAUAUAUUUACCGAAGCUAUAAGUCUUUUGUGCCAAACUUAUCAUAAAUCUUUGGAAGUUUUCUGGACGAACUUUGUACAUCGAUAGCAACAACUGGAUGCGAACGACGCAAAGGUUUGACAUGCACAAUA